rnacentral:rRNA from 1 species
CUACGGGAUGCUCCAGUGGGGAAUCUUAGACAAUGGGCGCAAGCCUGAUCUAGCCAUGCCGCGUGAGUGACGAAGGCCUUAGGGUCGUAAAGCUCUUUCGCUGGGGAAGAUAAUGACGGUACCCAGUAAAGAAACCCCGGCUAACUCCGUGCCAGCAGCCGCGGUAAUACGGAGGGGGUUAGCGUGGUUCGGAAUUACUGGGCGUAAAGCGCGCGUAGGCGGAUCAGAAAGUUGGGGGUGAAAUCCCGGGGCUCAACCCCGGAACUGCCUUCAAAACUCCUGGUCUUGAGUUCGAGAGAGGUGAGUGGAAUUCCGAGUGUAGAGGUGAAAUUCGUAGAUAUUCGGAGGAACACCGGUGGCGAAGGCGGCUCACUGGCUCGAUACUGACGCUGAGGUGCGAAAGCGUGGGGAGCAAACAGGAUUAGAUACCCGAGUAGUC